UGAGGAAUCUUUCACAAUGGGCGAAAGCCUGAUGGAGCGACACCGCGUGGAGGAUGAAGGGUUUAUUCUUGUAAACUCCUUUUUUGUGGGAAGAUAAUGACGGUACCACAAGAAUAAGGGACGGCAAACUACGUGCCAGCAGCCGCGGUGAUACGUAGGUCCCAAGCGUUAUCCGGAAUUACUGGGCGUAAAGCGUGCGCAGGCGGUUAUAUAAGACAGAUGUGAAAUCCCCGGGCUCAACCUGGGACCUGCAUUUGUGACUGUAUAGCUAGAGUACGGUAGAGGGGGAUGGAAUUCCGCGUGUAGCAGUGAAAUGCGUAGAUAUCGUGAGGAACACCAGAGGCGAAGGCGGCUACCUGGACAAUUGCUGACGCUCAGGCACGAAAGCGUGGGGAGCAAAAGGG
rnacentral:rRNA from 1 species